AUUGAACGCUGGCGGCAGGCCUAACACAUGCAAGUCGAGCGGCAGCGGGAAAGUAGCUUGCUACUUUUGCCGGCGAGCGGCGGACGGGUGAGUAAUGCCUGGGAAAUUGCCCAGUCGAGGGGGAUAACAGUUGGAAACGACUGCUAAUACCGCAUACGCCCUACGGGGGAAAGCAGGGGACCUUCGGGCCUUGCGCGAUUGGAUAUGCCCAGGUGGGAUUAGCUAGUUGGUGAGGUAAUGGCUAACCAAGGCGACGAUCCCUAGCUGGUCUGAGAGGAUGAUCAGCCACACUGGAACUGAGACACGGUCCGGACUCCUACGGGAGGCAGCAGUGGGGAAUAUUGCACAAUGGGGGAAACCCUGAUGCAGCCAUGCCGCGUGUGUGAAGAAGGCCUUCGGGUUGUAAAGCACUUUCAGCGAGGAGGAAAGGUUGAUGCAUAAUACGUAUCAACUGUGACGUUACUCGCAGAAGAAGCACCGGCUAACUCCGUGCCAGCCGCCGCCGUAAAAC
rnacentral:rRNA from 1 species